rnacentral:lncRNA from 10 species
CUUACAUGGGCCAAGAAGGGUACCCCAUGCUUUCAGGAUCCUGCUGUGUCCUUUCUCUAGCUCUGCACCACCCUAUGUUUCUGCUUUCUAGAACCGGUUUCAACCACCCAGUGCCCCAGAGUUCCCUACCCAAACAUCCCCAAACUCCCUUCCAGGCCUGCACUGGACUUUUCCCCAAGUCCGUACUCUUAAAGGCCAGAAUGUGCUGAUAGUGUGUGUACCCUAGGCCCAAGCUUUGGGGUGAUGUUGGGGAGGGUGAGUGGAGCUUAGAUUAAGUGGUCCAUACAUCUAUACCCAAAAGCGUUUGUUGAAUUGGAGAAAGCCAGGGAGCAGAGAGCAGUGGAGCGGGCUGGCAUAUUCUACAGCAGUAAGUUCCAGCAUGGAAAAAUCCAAGGAGCCUGAAAAUUCUAAAUCUGAGCUUGGCCUUCAGGUGUGCUUCCAUUUAUGCUCUUGCCUUGGGCUGCAGAAAUGUUAGGGCAGGCCUGGAAGCAAGGCACAGAGAUGGUUCUGAGCCGACAGAAGAGAGACAGAAAGGUCCAGAGGUGUAAUUUGGGAAUCCAAUCACAAGCAGGCAUAAGGCAGCCAAGAAGGAUGAGCCGGUGAUCUCUGCAGUCUGCCCAUAACUCCACACAAAACUUUACCCAUUGUCACAGGAGAGUAUAAGCAUAGCAUAAAGAUCCUCGUAGAUGGACUUUCAGCUCCAUGCUUAAAGCAACUGACAAGAAUCCAUUUCUUUUCAGUGUACAAGUGAAGGGUAAAAGACAGAGAAGGAAGAUAGAGCAUAGGAAAAAGAGUGGGGUGAUAUUUGUCCAUUCAUUUGUUGAAGAAAUGGUUAAAUAAAGGAAUGAAUGACUAAAGACCAGGUUGGCAGGUGAAAGCCAGGGCAGGGGCCUGGGGCAGCAGGCAGAGACACAGCUCUCACAAAUGCAAGAGGAAGACGAAUCAGGCACUCGUCUGUUCUUCAAAGGAUACAGAAUGGUUUUAUUGACCACCUGUACAUGUGAUGGCUUUCAUCCUGGAGGAGAAGGGCAUAUCCACACCUACCGAAUAUCUGUUUCACAGGCAAUGUGCCAAUUAUUUACAUGCAUAAUCUCAGUAAAUCCUUAGACAACUCUGUGGAGGCAUUUACUGAUAUCUCCAUUUUACCCAGGAGGACACUGAGGUCCAGAGAGAUUAAACCAUUUGUCUGAGGUCACACGGCCAGUGAAAUUUUGAUGCAGGAUUUAAAUCCAAGUCUGUCUCUUACCACUGUAUCAUGCUGUUUUCAGAGGUGAGGGGAGGUGUCUUAAGAGUACCAUAUGGCUUCUGCCACUGGGGAGACCACUGUCAAAUUCCAAGAGGAAGAUCAUGAGGGUCUCAACUGAAUUACUGAAGGGGAGAUUGUGUGAGAAGAGACAGAUUUAAGACUUAUCUGCAGGGUAGAAAUUGGAUUGGUGAACUUAAUACAAUGUUUCUUUAUUCAUUCAUUUAUUCAUUUCAAUAUUCACUGAGUUUUAUUAUGUGUCAAGACACUGCAUUUAGUUGGCCCAGGGAAGAAUAAAUGUGAAUAGGACACUGCAUUCAAUGAAUGCUGAUUCUAGAAUGAGCAGCAAACUAAAUCCAGUAAUGAUA